GUCACACUUUCUCCAUGGGCAGUUUCCUUUCUCACAUUUUCUCUCCUCUCUCUCCCUUUCUUUGGUGCCCGAUACUCCCUUUCUCUCCGUUUUCUCUAUUUUCUUCUUUUUUCUUUUAUUUUUCGUUUCCUUGCUCCUCUCCAUUUUCGCUUGCUCUCUUCCCUUCUUCUUUUUUUCGUGCUGCGUCUUUGGCCAAACCCCAAACCAAACCUGCCGCCUCUUCAACUUCCUUGACCAUAAAGUUCCUCCUUCUCCCAAUCCCCAACGCGGUUCUGAUGGCGUUGCCUCCUCCGACAUCACCGUUACCCAUUCUGGCAAUCUCUGGUUCCGCCUCUUCAACCCAAGCCCUACUACCGCUGGUGGCAGAAACGGAGUAUCCAGAGAAGAAACCCAAUAUUGUUUUAUGCUGCUGCUGCUCAUUGCUCAUGAUUCUAACCAAGUUGUGGACAGUUUUGGUGGACAGUUUUAACCGAAGUGACAUGUAUUUUGGGCUGGUUUUAAGUUCGGAAAUGGCAUGUAUAGUGGGUUGGUUUUAAGUACGAAAAUGGCAUAUAUUGUGGCUUGGUUUGUAUAUGGUUAUGUUAACCAAAAUGACAUGUAUUUCUUGUCUAUGGUUUUAUUAUAAGUACUGUAAUUAGUUGUUAUUAUUUGGGUUGUUUCUCUCAUUUAUGGGUUUGGAUUGUUAUUAUUUGGGCUCAUUUGCUGUAUAUGUGCAAGUUUGGAUUGUUCAUAUUUGCUUGGAUUGGUGCAAUAAGUGGUGCCAGAAUGUGAAAAUGUUGUGGAAUUUUUUAUAUAAAUCAUUGGCUUCAAAUU